GACGAACCACACAAACGUUAUUCGGAAUUACUGGGCUUAAAGGGUGCGUAGGCUGUGCGGAAAGUUGGGUGUGAAAUCCCCCGGCUCAACCGGGGAAUUGCGCCCAAAACUACCGUGCUUGAGGAAGACAGAGGUGAGCGGAACUUCGGGUGGAGCGGUGAAAUGCGUUGAUAUCAUCAGGAAUACCGGAGGCGAAGGCGGCUCACUGGGGGUUUUCUGACGCUGAGGAACGAAAGCCAGGGGAGCGAACGGG
rnacentral:rRNA from 1 species